CAGGGAUAUUGCUCAGGGUAUCAGUCAUACACCGCAUAAAAUAACUUUAGGUAAAUUUAAUAGCUUUAAAGAGCAUCUGUAUAUUCUUUAUUAUUGCUUUUUAAUCCAGGAAACUAUCAACAAUGAAGCUGUGGGAGAUAAGAAAGGAAAUGCUGUUAAAAACAGCUUUAACCGUGUUUGUCCUCUCAUGUUUCCUGGGACGUCUGGACUGUGAAGGAAGUGGUGGUAUGGUCCAAUUAUCUUCCUUUGUAUUUAAUGGUUUCAAACCCUGGCUACCAUCUUUUUGUCCGGCA
ensembl:lncRNA